CCUACGGGUGGCAGCAGUGGGGAAUAUUGCACAAUGGGGGAAACCCUGAUGCAGCAACGCCGCGUGGGUGAAGAAGUAUUUCGGUAUGUAAAGCUCUAUCAGCAGGGAAGAGAAUGACGGUAACUGACUAAGAAGCUCCGGCUAACUACGUGCCAGCAGCCGCGGGAUUACGUAGGGGGCAAGCGUUAUCCGGAUUUACGGGGUGGAAAGGGAGCGGAGACGGUUGUGCAAGUCUGAAGUGAAAGCCCGCGGCUCAACUGCGGAACGGCUUUGGAAACUGGGGAACUGGAGUGCUGGAGAGGUAAGCGGAAUUCCUGGUGUAGCGGUGAAAUGCGUAGAGAUCAGGAGGAACACCAGAGGCGAAGGCGGCUUACUGGACAGUAACUGACGUUGAGGCUCGAAAGCGUGGGGAGCAAACAGGAUUAGAUACCCUAGUAGUC
rnacentral:rRNA from 1 species